GCGUUGUACGGAAUUACUGGGCUUAAAGAGUUCGUAGGUGGUUUGUCGCGUUGUUCGUGAAAACCGGGGGCUUAACCCUCGGCGUGCGGGCGAUACGGGCAGACUUGAGUACUGCAGGGGAGACUGGAAUUCCUGGUGUAGCGGUGGAAUGCGCAGAUAUCAGGAGGAACACCGGUGGCGAAGGCGGGUCUCUGGGCAGUAACUGACGCUGAGGAGCGAAAGCGUGGGGAGCGAACAGG
rnacentral:rRNA from 1 species